AGUCUGGUGCCAGCACCCGCGGUAAUUCCAGCUCCAAGAGCGUAUAUUAAUACUGCUGUAGUUAAAACGCCCGUAGUAUACCUAAGAGUGGGUGUGUAGUAAUUAGUUUUACCAGAGGACGGUUGGCGAGAGUUUAUCACUCUUGUUUGCCUACUUUUGGUAGACUUUAGUCGGGCUGGAUCUUUGGUCCUCGUCUGACAGUUGCUACGUACUUACUUACCACGGUUCAUCCGUGAGGCCCUUGGCUUGCAACUGUAAAUAAAUCGUUGUGCUUAAAGCGGGCUAUGAUACUCUGCCAGAGCGAUUUAGCAUGGGACUGCAGAGUAGCUGUAUUUGAGCGAAGGUUGCACCUCGGUGUGGCUGGAGCUUGGUACAGCGCUUGUAAUGGAGCUCAGGGUGAGGCCCCGGGUACCAUGAGGCUAGAGGUGAAAUUCUGAGACCCUCAUGUGACCAACUAAGGCGAAAGCUGUCGUGGGCCACCACAAGCUCGUCUAUCAGGGACGAAAGUUGGGGGAUCGAAGACGAUUAGAUACCGUCGUAGUCCCAACUAUAAACGAUACCAACCGAGUAUUUGGGAAGACACUAUCCCAGCGAUCUUCUCAGAACUCAAGGGAAACCUUAAGUCUUUGGGUUCUGGGGGGAGUAUAGUCGCAAGACCGAAACUUAAAGGAAUUGACGGAAAGGCACCACCAGGAGUGGAGUCUGCGGCUUAAUUCGACUCAACACGGGGAAACUCACCAGGUCAGGACACAAGUUUGAUUGACAGGUUAAUAGCCCUUUCUUGAUUGUGUGGUGGGUAGUGCAUGNCCGUUUCCAGUUCGUGGAGUGAUCUGUCUUGUUAAUUCAGAUAACGAACGAGACCUAAGCCUUUAACUAGCCGUAGGCCUUUUCCUUCGGGGAAGGGUUAGUUUGUCGGAACAGGUUUCGGCCUGUUCCAAAACCUACGAGACUUUUGUCAGCUUCUUAAAGGGACUUCAUUCGUAAACUAGGAUGAGGAAGAUUUAGGCCAUAACAGGUCUGUGAUGCUCUUAGAUGUCCUGGGCUGCACGCGUACUACAAUAACGGUACCAGCGAGCGCUAUGGUUUUAUAACCCCUUAUCCUAAUAGGAUUGGGAAAACUUUUCAAACACCGUUAUGACAGGGAUCGAGGAUUGGAACAUCCUCGUGAACGAGGAAUUCCUAGUAAGCGUGGUUCAUCAUACCACAUUGAUUACGUCCCUGCCUUUUGUACACACCGCCCGUCGCUCCUACCGAUGGGACGAAGAGAUGAACCUGGCGGACCGAACCGCAAGGUAAGGGAAACCAGUUAAAUCUCUUCGUCUGUAGGAAGGAAAAGUCGUAACAAGGUCUUCGUAGGUGAACCUGCGUAGG
rnacentral:rRNA from 1 species